rnacentral:rRNA from 1 species
GAUGAACGCUGGCGGCGUGCCUAAUACAUGCAAGUCGAGCGAACAGACGAGGAGCUUGCUCCUCUGACGUUAGCGGCGGACGGGUGAGUAACACGUGGAUAACCUACCUAUAAGACUGGGAUAACUUCGGGAAACCGGAGCUAAUACCGGAUAAUAUAUUGAACCGCAUGGUUCAAUAGUGAAAGACGGUUUUGCUGUCACUUAUAGAUGGAUCCGCGCCGCAUUAGCUAGUUGGUAAGGUAACGGCUUACCAAGGCAACGAUGCGUAGCCGACCUGAGAGGGUGAUCGGCGACACUGGAACUGGGACACGGUCCAGACUCCUACGGGAGGCACCAGUAGGGAAUCUUCCGCAAUGGGCGAAAGCCUGACGGAGCAACGCCGCGUGAGUGAUGAAGGUCUUCGGAUCGUAAAACUCUGUUAUUAGGGAAGAACAAAUGUGUAAGUAACUAUGCACGUCUUGACGGUACCUAAUCAGAAAGCCACGGCUAACUACGUG